rnacentral:rRNA from 1 species
AGAGUUGAUCAUGGCUCAGGAUGAACGCUAGCUACAGGCUUAACACAUGCAAGUCGGAAGGGGAAACGAUAUUGGAAGCUUGCUUCCGAUAGGCGUCGACCGGCGUACGGGUGAGUAACGCGUAUCCAACCUGCCCACCACGUUGGGGAUAACCUUGCGAAAGUAAGACUAAUACCCAAUGACGUCUCUAGAAGACAUCUGAAAGAGAUUAAAGAUUUAUCGGUGAUGGAUGGGGAUGCGUCUGAUUAGCUUGUUGGCGGGGUAACGGCCCACCAAGGCGACGAUCAGUAGGGGUUCUGAGAGGAAGGCCCCCCACAUUGGAACUGAGACACGGUCCAAACUCCUACGGGAGGCAGCA